ACUAACAUGAAAACAGGUUCAGCAGCUUUACAUUCUCUAAAAUGGAGAACUGAGACUACAUAUGGAAGAAAAAAACAAAAUGGCAGUUGCUUCAUGACAGGAAGCCAAGAAAGUAGAAAACAAGAAAAGAGCCCUGAUACUGCUGAGCAGAGGAGUCAAAUCCAGUAACACCUUCUAUCUUCACCAGUAAAGACUGGGAGCAGAGCUGAAAACAACCAUUCAAUCAGUGAAAACACAAACUGCAUGAUGUCACCUGUGGGUGUGGCUGUUCCUUCCCUACACUCUCUGAUGUCAUAGCAGCUAAAUUAGAUUGAACUGAAGCCAGACUUAAACAUAAAACAGC